CCCGAAUUGGAAGGAUUUACUUGAGAAUAUAUUUUACUGUGGAAUAAUCAUUUAAAAUUCUUAAGUGGUAAUGAAACGUUAUUCGUCUUUUAAUAUAUCUGGUUUCCUGAGAAAUAAGUUCAAUUUAUUUACAUGAUUAAUUUAUGCUUAUUUUAUGGUAGUUUUUAUUAUGUAGGAAUGUUUAAUGGGAUAAGCUUUUAAACAGAAUUUAUUGACCUAAAAUUCAAUUUUUAUAAGUAGGGUUAGAAUUUCCCAUCUUUUUUAGUAUGUUAUAAUUAUAGAAAUAAGUUAUAUGAUUUCUUUUGGUUGUAGUUUUUUAUUGGGGAUUUGAAUUUAAUAUUAAUUUUUAAGUUAGAAUGGUUAAAUUAGUAAAUUUUAUUUUAUAGGUAAUUAUAAUCUUAAAGGUUAGGUUAAGGAACUCGGCAAAUACAUUUCUUGCCUGUUUACUAAAAACAUGUCCUUUUGAUUGAUUAAUUUAAGGUCUAGCCUGCCCACUGAUUUUUAAAUGGCUGCGGUAUUUUGACCGUACAAAGGUAGCAUAAUCAUUAGUUUCCUAAUUAGAAGCUUGCAUGAACGGCUGGACAAGGAAAUAGCUGUCUCAACCUAAAUUUAAAUUGAACUUUAUCUUUAAGUUAAAAAGCUUAAAUUUUUCUAAAAGACGAGAAGACCCUAUAGAGUUUUACAUAUUUAAACUAUUAUCUAAUUGGUAAAUUUCAUCUUAGGUUGUUAGUGUGUUUUGUUGGGGUGACAGGGAAAUUUUCCUAACUUUUCUUUUUUAUUGACAUUAAUAAAUGGUUAUUUGAUCCGAUUAUUUCGAUUAUAAGAUUAAAUUACCUUAGGGAUAACAGCGUAAUUUCUUUUGAGAGUUCAAAUCGAAAUAGGAGUUUGCGACCUCGAUGUUGGAUUAAAAUUUACUGUUGGUGUAGCAGCUAGCAUGAUUUGGUCUGUUCGACCUUUAAAAUUUUACAUGAUCUGAGUUUAGACCGGCGUGAGCCAGGUUGGUUUCUAUCUUUAGUUUCAAUUAAUUCUUUAGUACGAAAGGACCGGGAAUU
rnacentral:rRNA from 1 species